rnacentral:rRNA from 1 species
UUGAUGGAGAGUUUGAUCCUGGCUCAGGACGAACGCUGGCGGCGUGCUUAACACAUGCAAGUCGUGCGGAGAUGAGAC